GACGUAGGGCGCGAGCGUUGUCCGGAUUUAUUGGGCGUAAAGCGCUCGUAGGCGGUUUGUCGCGUCGGAUGUGAAAACCCGGGGCUCAACUCCGGGCUUGCAUUCGAUACGGGCAGGCUAGAGUUCGGUAGGGGAGUCUGGAAUUCCUGGUGUAGCGGUGAAAUGCGCAGAUAUCAGGAGGAACACCGGUGGCGAAGGCGGGACUCUGGGCCGAUACUGACGCUGAGGAGCGAAAGCGUGGGGAGCGAACAGG
rnacentral:rRNA from 1 species